UACGGAGGGUGCAAGCGUUGUUCGGAAUCACUGGGCGUAAAGCGCAUGUAGGCGGUUAUAUAAGUUUUAUGUGAAAGCCCUUGGCUAAACUAAGGAAGUGCAUGAAAGACUGUAUGGCUAGAGUGUAGGAGAGGAAGGUGGAAUUCCCGGUGUAGAGGUGAAAUUCGUAGAUAUCGGGAGGAACACCAGAAGCGAAGGCGGCCUUCUGGACUGCAACUGACGCUAAGAUGCGAAAGUGUGGGGAGCAAACAGG
rnacentral:rRNA from 1 species